GACGAACGCUGGCGGCGUGCCUAAUACAUGCAAGUCGAGCGAAUGGAUUAAGAGCUUGCUCUUAUGAAGUUAGCGGCGGACGGGUGAGUAACACGUGGGCAACCUGCCCAUAAGACUGGGAUAACUCCGGGAAACCGGGGCUAAUACCGGAUAACAUUUUGAACCGCAUGGUUCGAAAUUGAAAGGCGGCUUCGGCUGUCACUUAUGGAUGGACCCGCGUCGCAUUAGCUAGUUGGUGAGGUAACGGCUCACCAAGGCAACGAUGCGUAGCCGACCUGAGAGGGGGAUCGGCCACACUGGGACUGAGACACGGCCCAGACUCCUACGGGAGGCAGCAGUAGGGAAUCUUCCGCAAUGGACGAAAGUCUGACGGAGCAACGCCGCGUGAGUGAUGAAGGCUUUCGGGUCGUAAAACUCUGUUGUUAGGGAAGAACAAGUGCUAGUUGAAUAAGCUGGCACCUUGACGGUACCUAACCAGAAAGCCACGGCUAACUACGUGCCAGCAGCCGCCGUAA
rnacentral:rRNA from 1 species